rnacentral:rRNA from 1 species
GAUGAACGCUAGCGGCAGGCCUAAUACAUGCAAGUCGAACGGUGUAGCAAUACACAGUGGCGCACGGGUGCGUAACACGUAUGCAACCUACCUUACAUUGGGGGAUAGCCUUUCGAAAGGGAGAUUAAUACCGCAUAAGACAGUAACUCGGCAUCUAGUAGCUGUUAAAGAUUUAUCGAUGUAAGCUGGGCAUGCGUCCAAUUAGUUAGUUGGCGAGGUAAUGGAUCACCAAGACGAUGAUUGGUAGGGGAACUGAGAGGUCAAUCCCCCACACUGGCACUGGGAUACGGGCCAGACUCCUACGGGAGGCAGCAGUAGGGAAUAUUGGGCAAUGGGCGCAAGCCUGACCCAGCCAUGCCGCGUGCAGGAAGAAGGCGUUAUGCGUUGUAAACUGCUUUUAUACAGGAAGAAACGACCCUUGCGAGGGGCAUUGACGGUACUGUAUGAAUAAGCACCGGCUAACUCCGUGCCAGCAGCCGCCGUAACAC